UACGUAGGGGGCAAGCGUUGUCCGGAAUUAUUGGGCGUAAAGAGCUUGUAGGCGGUUUGUCGCGUCUGCUGUGAAAUCUCAAGGCUCAACCUUGAGCUUGCAGUGGGUACGGGCAGACUAGAGUGUGGUAGGGGAGACUGGAAUUCCUGGUGUAGCGGUGAAAUGCGCAGAUAUCAGGAGGAACACCGAUGGCGAAGGCAGGUC
rnacentral:rRNA from 1 species